CGUCAAGUGAGGAGUUCAGUGGAAAUUGGUAUGGUUGUACAACAGGUAGGUUUCUGAGCCAAGAAAUAUCUUUGUUAGAGUUUGAACGUGUCUGUUGAAGAGCUCAGAGAUGUGCAGCGCCGCACGAACAACAAUGAAUGGCUCACUGAGAUGAGAAGACUCCAGUCAUCUCCAGUCCAAUCCAAAUCAAAGCUAGCUCCAGCCCCUGUAUCUGCUCCAGAAAGUUCUCCAGAGUCCACUCCAGUUUUUAUGUCUGCACCUGAAAUUGAAGUGCGUCCCAACAUGGCCGCCAAUCCAGAGUCUCGUCCCAAGAAGGCCGACUUCAGAGUCUCGUCACCCAAGCUCAGCCCAGAGUUGACUCCAGCCCCUGAGUUCUGCCUAAAGGAGUCCAACCCAGAUAUGGCUCCUGUUCCUGAACUCCGUCCUGAAUCCACUCUAUCCCCUGAGUACAUCCCAGUGUGGGGGGGUGGGGGGUAGGGGUAGGGGCGGUCUACCUGUCCACGGCCAAGGAGGCACCACCUAAACUGCUGGUUCCACCCUAGGCUCCUGCACCGACGGCUCCUCUCCGGUCUCCUGAACCGCCGGCUGCACCCCGGUCCCCUGAACUGCCUGUGCUGCCAUGGUCCCCUGAACUGCCCGUUCCGCCAUGGUCCCCCUAAUCUGCCUGGAACGCCAUGGUCCUCCGAAUGACCUACACUGCCCUGGCCCUCUGAGUUGCCGGCACCUCCCUGCACUCGAUAUAAAAAAAAUCGGGUAGAUUUGGCUAUAUAUUGGGUGUAUGAUGUGUGUGUAUAUCACAAAGUAUAUGCCUUUCUCCACUGACGUUAAGGUGUUUAAAUACUGAUUAAAAACAGCUAAUUUCAAGUAUGGGUAGAUAUACAUUUACAAAUAUUUGGUAGCACCUGACAAAAGUAAAAAAGAAAAGAAUUUAAACACUGAAAUGAUAUGUAACAACUUAAACUUGCUUAAGCACAUUGUUCAUGACUCAAAAUCAUUACAUCAGUUUUGAAAAGGUGUGGGUUGUGGGUUUUUUUUUUUUUUUUUUUUUUUUUUUU